rnacentral:rRNA from 1 species
AGAGUUUGAUCCUGGCUCAGAACGAACGCUGGCGGCGUGUCUUAAGCAUGCAAGUCGUGCGGCAAGGGGUAGCAAUACCCCCUAGAGCGGCGGACUGGUGAGUAACGCGUGGGUGAUCUGCCUUUGGGAUGGGGAUAGCCAUUAGAAAUAGUGGGUAAUACCGAAUACGUUCGGUAGGUUACGGCCUACCGAGGAAAAGCGCUUCGGCGCUGCCCGAAGAUGAGCCCGCGUCCCAUUAGCUAGUUGGUGAGGUAACGGCCCACCAAGGCGAUGAUGGGUAGCCGGCCUGAGAGGGUGUACGGCCACACUGGGACUGAGAUACGGCCCAGACUCCUACGGGAGGCAGCAGCUAAGAAUAUUCCGCAAUGGACGAAAGUCUGACGGAGCGACGCCGCGUGGAUGACGAAGGCCGAAAGGUUGUAAAGUCCUUUUGUUGGGGAAGAAUAAGCAUGGGAGGGAAUGCCCGUGUGAUGACAUGAACCGACGAAUAAGCCCCGGCUAACUACGUGCCAGCAGCCGCGGUAACACGUAGGGGGCGAGCGUUGUUCGGAAUUACUGGGCGUAAAGGGCAUGUAGGCGGCUUUGUAAGCCCGGCGUGGAAGCCCACGGCUCAACCGUGGGAUUGCGUUGGGAACUGCGAGGCUUGAAUCAUGGAGAGGGAGCUAGAAUUCCUGGUGUAGGGGUGAAAUCUGUAGAGAUCAGGAAGAAUACCAGUGGCGAAGGCGAGCUCCUGGCCAAUGAUUGACGCUGAGGUGCGAAAGUGUGGGGAUCAAACAGGAUUAGAUACCCUGGUAGUCCACACUGUAAACGAUGUGCACUAGGUGCUGG